GGAAAACACUGUGCCAAGGAAAAAGGAAACUCUUUCCAGCAGCUGGAAAUAGAAGACCAGUACCUGCUCAAAGUGUAGACUUGUCAUUAUGUACUUCAGUUUUCACCAACCAGAAACACAAAAGUGUGAAGACUGCCCUGCUCCCCCAAAUUUCACAAGAUGCC
rnacentral:lncRNA from 1 species